rnacentral:rRNA from 1 species
UACGUAGGGGGCAAGCGUUGUCCGGAAUCAUUGGGCGUAAAGAGCGUGUAGGCGGCUCGGUAAGUCCGCUGUGAAAGUCCAGGGCUCAACCCUGGAAUGCCGGUGGAAACUGUCGAGCUAGAGUCCGGAAGAGGCGAGUGGAAUUCCUGGUGUAGCGGUGAAAUGCGCAGAUAUCAGGAGGAACACCAGCGGCGAAGGCGGCGCUCUGGGCCGGUACUGACACUGAGGAGCGAAAGCGUGGGGAUCAAACAGG